rnacentral:misc_RNA from 1 species
AACGCACCUUGCGCCCUUUGGUAUUCCGAGGGGCAUGCCUGUUUGAGUGUCAUUAAAUUAUCAACCUUUACUAGCUUUUUGCUUUGCUAAAGGAUUGGAAGUGGGGGUAUUCAUUUUGCAGGUUUUUGAUAAAGAAAUCUGCUCCCCUCAAAUGCAUUAGCGGUUUCCUUGUGGACUCGUCUAUUAGUGUAAUAAAAUAUAUCUACGCUGUUAGAUGUCUACGUCUUAAGGUUAUAUACUGCUUUAUAGUCGUCUUUUAAUAGGACAACAUUUUUUGACUCUUGACCUCAAAUCAGGUAGGACUACCCGCUGAACUUAA